UUUACUCUACGGGAGGCAGCAGUCGGGAAUAUUGCGCAAUGGAGGAAACUCUGACGCAGUGACGCCGCGUAUAGGAAGAAGGUUUUCGGAUUGUAAACUAUUGUCGUGAGGGAAGAAAUAGACAGUACCUCAGGAGGAAGCUCCGGCUAACUAUGUGCCAGCAGCCGCGGUAAUACAUAGGGAGCAAGCGUUAUCCGGAUUUAUUGGGUGUAAAGGGGGCGUAGACGGGAAAUUAAGUUAGUUGUGAAAUCCCUCGGCUUCACUGAGGAACUGCAACUAAAACUGGUUUUCUUGAGUACUGGAGG
rnacentral:rRNA from 1 species